AAAUGCCGCUACGAGUACGACCAUAGUCACUGAUGUGCUGACAGCCGUCGCAAUUAAUAGCUGCAGAGAAGUUAAGUCAAUGUCCUCGGCGAGAAGCAGCGGUACAGAUAUUGGUGUCAAAGGAGCUGUCGGGAGGAAGAUCUCCGGGAAACUGCAGCCGAUUUCCCAAUGCAAUGAUUUUAACGUGGGGCCCUCUGCAGAAACAGGUCGAAGAAACUUGACUGGAUUCCGGAGGCGAAGUUUGCUUGCCGACUCUCCGAGGAGAACUUCCACUCCCGAAGGACGUGUUAACCAGUUGAUAGAGCAAGGAGCAAGCCACAAAUCUCUCGUCACUGAACUGAAUUGCUUGAAGUACACGGGCAGCGGGAGAGUUGCGAAAUAUCUCGGAGAGGAGCAAAGGAAUAGCACGACCGUUCUUAGAAAGAA